AGCUGCCCUCGGAGACCCCCUUCCUCUCUCAUCCUGGAUCCACGGCGAGCGAGGCAGAGCUCACAGAUCACAGCUAACACACUGAACAGCUGACCACGGGAUCGCCGAUAAGAGGAAUAGCAGCAGACAAGGUGACCCGAUCUGCACGCCGACCCCAUGAACCGCUGCUCGACAUUCAUGAGAACACUGUAAUCGGAAGAGAAGAAGAGGAGCAUGGGAAGCAGAGCCCAGUCGGCACGAUAUCACCACCGAGGUGAUGAGGCGCCAGGAGCUCCAGGACGGGGUCGUGCAGCUUUAAGGGGCCACUCGGUCCCACCGUCUCACUCGCAUGAGCCAUUUAUCUUCGUACGUGAUUCAUCUUCACGUGAUUUGCAGAAUCUCUUUUUUCCAGAAGAGGCGAUGCCUGGACGCCUCAUGCCCACCGGGGCUCUUGUGGCUGUCGAGCCCGUCUCACUGAUUUCCGUCCUGGAGGAGAGUGUUUUCCCUUUGACCCACGGAUCCUCUCGCCUGAUCCAAAACUACGGGCACUUUGAGCCGCAAUUGAAUGUUUGGUCACGGUGGUAAGAAAAGAGGAAGGAGGAGAAGAAGAAGCAACGCGAAACACCGCCGUGUGAACGCGUCCGCCCUGUAAGCGUCGGAGUCGUACACCCCUCCGGCCUCUGGCCUCUGAUUGGGUUCCCCUGCCAGUGAUGUGGUCGCGUAUUGAUCGGCCGACAGUUGUACAACAACACUCUCUUUCUCGGGUUUUCUUUUCCCGCUUCUCUUUCAUACGCCUCGACACACGCGCGCCGGGUCAUCUGAUCCAGAUCAGAACCGUCACUUAAACUCUGAAUAAGAUCACAACCCGAGUUCAAAAAAACUCUCUCGCAUAAAGCUUUACAAUGUAGACGCAGACGGCGUGUUUCUUCUGUCACUCACACACACACACACACACAGAAAGACACACACUCGAUGGGUGUGUGUGAUCUUUUCUCCAGAGAGUCUGAUAGUCUGAUGCCCUGCAGGAAUGGCUAGCCAUACCUGGCCAUAGCUGCCUGCUCACUGCCUCGGGCUACUGCUUAGCAAUUCCACUCUGAAUACAAUGGGCUGCAGGCGUGCACACACACACACACACACACACACACACAGAAACCCAUACACAUCCAACAAACCUCUUUCAAAGCUGCUGUCCAGUAAUGAAUUUCCAGACCUUGGAAAGCUCCCUUCAAACAGGUACUAACAAAAAAAGACAGACUACUGCUUCAUCUCGCCCCACCUCCACCGUCUGCAUCUCAUAUCGCCUCAUGAAACCGAGACAAAGUGAAUUCAUGGAUCGAGAUCACCGAAAACCAGCAGUGCGCGACGAUAAAUCCUUCGAAUCAAUUUUUAAGAACGCGGAAACCUCAAAAUGUUCUUUGGCGGGACACAAACAUUUAAACGCGAGCGUCUGCGUAAGCUGCGUCUUCGUCGUCGCUUCACUUCUUCCCGCCCCCCCCCCCCCCCCCGGUUUACGGGAGGGACAUUUGUACUUAUUUGUUGUUUGACACCGGCUGGUCGUACAGCGGAGCGAGUCACGGGAAGAACAGCAUCCGCAUAUGAAGACAUGCCAAUCACAGCGCUCGGAGAAGAGAGCGAGGACGGGCGAGACGCUACGGCAACCUCUCCAAACCGCCGUUUGAAAAGAGAAUACAUUUCUGUCACACUCACUUCCCGUCUGCCUGUUUGAGUCUGAAAGAGGAGACACACACACAC